GCGAGUCGAACGAGAAAGCCCUCUUCGGAGGGUGAGUACAGUGGCGGACGGGUGAGUAACACGUGGGUAAUCUGCCCUUGGGUUGGGAAUAACACUUCUAACGAGGUGCUAAUACCGAAUAACAAGACGCGUUGCAAGACGCGUUUUUAAAGGUGGCCUCUACUUGUAAGCUGCCGCCCGAGGAUGAGCCCGCGUCGUAUUAGCUUGUUGGUGGGGUAAUGGCCUACCAAGGCGACGAUGCGUAGCCGGCCUGAGAGGGUGAAC
rnacentral:rRNA from 1 species